GACGAACGCUGGCGGCCUGCCUAACACAUGCACGUCGAACGAGUGGCGGACGGGUGAGUAAUGUCUGGGAACCUGCCCGAUGGAGGGGGAUAACUACUGGAAACGGUAGCUAAUACCGCAUACCAUCGGAUGUGCCAAGAUGGGAUUAGCUAGUAGGUGGGAUAACGGUGCACCGAGGCCAAGAUCCCUAGCUGGUCUGAGAGGAUGACCAGCCACACUGGAACUGAGACACGGUCCAGACUCCUACGGGAGGCAGCAGUGGGGAAUAUUGCACAAUGGGCGCAAGCCUGAUGCAGCCAUGCCGCGUGUAUGAAGAAGGCCUUCGGGUUGUAAAGUACUUUCAGCGAGGAGGCGUUACUCGCAGAAGAAGCACCGGCUAACUCCGUGCCAGCCGCCGCGGUAAUUC
rnacentral:rRNA from 1 species